GACGAACGCUGGCGGCGUGCUUAACACAUGCAAGUCGAACGGAAAGGCCCUGCUUUUGUGCGGUGCUCGAGUGGCGAACGGGUGAGUAACACGUGAGUAACCUGCCCUUGAUUUUGGGGUAACUUCAGGAAACUGGGGCUAAUCCCGGAUCGGAGCUCACGCUGCAUGGUGGGGGUUGGAUAGUUUCGGCGGUUGGGGCUGGACUGGCGGCUUAUCAGCUUGUUGGUGGGGUAGUGGCUUACGCAGGGUUUGACGGGUCGCCGGCCUGGGAGGGUGACCCGGCACAUGAGGACUGAGGGAGGGCCCAGACGCCAACGGGAGGCAGCAGUGGGAAACAUGGCACAAUAAGCGGAAGCCGGAUGCAGCGACGCCGCGUUCGGGAUGACGGCCUUCGGGGAGUAAACCGCUGCCGCCUGAUACGAAGCGGGAGUGACGGUAAUGGAAAAAGAAGCACCGGCUAACUACGUG
rnacentral:rRNA from 1 species